rnacentral:rRNA from 1 species
GAUGAACGCUGGCGGCGUGCCUAAUACAUGCAAGUCGAGCGAACGGACGAGAAGCUUGCUUCUCUGAUGUUAGCGGCGGACGGGUGAGUAACACGUGGAUAACCUACCUAUAAGACUGGGAUAACUUCGGGAAACCGUAGCUAAUACCGGAUAAUAUUUUGAACCGCAUGGUUCAAAAGUGAAAGACGGUCUUGCUGUCACUUAUAGAUGGAUCCGCGCUGCAUUAGCUAGUUGGUAAGGUAACGGCUUACCAAGGCAACGAUGCAUAGCCGACCUGAGAGGGUGAUCGGCCACACUGGAACUGAGACACGGACCAGACUCCUACGGGAGGCAGCAGUAGGGAAUCUUCCGCAAUGGGCGAAAGCCUGACGGAGCAACGCCGCGUGAGUGAUGAAGGUCUUCGGAUCGUAAAACUCUGUUAUUAGGGAAGAACAGAUGUGUAAGUAACUGUGCACAUCUUGACGGUACCUAAUCAGAAAGCCACGGCUAACUACGUG